CCAACCAUGCGCAGGAGACAGAUGUGAACCAUAGUGCCAUAUGUGAACAGGGAACAGCCGCAUAGGAUUUGGAUAAGGGGGAAAGAAUUACAGACUUCUCAGACAGGGGCACUGGGCAGAGGACGUGUGGUGAGAAUAAAGUGUUUUUAUUAGAAAGAAUGGAUGGACAGGGUCGCAUCGAUUCAUUCAUUUCAUCAUUUGAUUUCUUGGUGGGACAUCGACGACGGUCAGGUAAAAUAAUCAGGCAUUAAUGUGAAAAAGCAGUAACAGUAGAUCGAUGCCCUGAGAGCUCUGCCUUUUCUCCCGGCAUAUUUGGUGAGUUAUUCGGUUAUAUGUUUCGAAAAAAAUAUUGAUUCAGUUAAGCAUACAUGCAUUGGCAUGGUUUUUGCAACAAAACUAAGUAGAUGCGUAGACAGUUGCAACAAAAUAACUUAUAGCAGGAAUGGUAAACUUUUAAAUUAUUAAUGUUUUCUUGGCAAUUUUCCCGGAUUCUUUGAUGUUGGAAUUUUGUCCCAUCCCAAUUCAAGUCUAAACUCAAUACAAGAAAAUCCUCGGUAAGCA
rnacentral:lncRNA from 1 species